AGCCCUAGGUUUCUCUUCAGCCUCCCCAAUCGCCCCCGAUCUCUAUUCCCGGUCUCAACUCUGAACUCCCCCAACCCCAACCCCCCCCCUCUCUAUCUCUCUCUCUCUGCAACUCCCAAUUGCGCGCCUCCAUCUCUAUUCUCGUUCUCAACUCUGAACUUCCCCCCCCUCUCUGCAACUCCCCAAUCGCCUCCAUCUCUAUUCUCGUUCUCAACUCUGAACUUGCCCCCUCUCUAUCUCUGCAACUCCCCAAUUGCCUCCAUCUCUAUUCUCUUUUCUCAACUCUGAACUUGUCCCCCCUCUCUCUCUGCUACUGCUAAUUAGAAAAUCUGCAAGAAUCAGAAGUUCAAAACCCAUAUAUUUCAGUUUAUCUAUCUGUCUGCAAGAAUCAAAAGUUCAAAACCUAUUACCUAAUCAAAACCCAUAUCUGAUAUGCCAGAUUGUUCAAAAAAUCAAAACCCAUAUCUUUCAGUUUCCAUCGCCCGCUGUUCCAGUUCGGGUUCGCCGUUCGCAAGCUUCAGCCGCUGUCUCUCAACUCUCAAGCUUGCCCCCCUCUCUCUUUCUGCAACUGCUCACUUGUAUGUAUGUUGUUUUAAUUUUUUUGAUAUUUAUUAUUGUUUGUGCCUAUUGUGUUUUUCAGCGAGGAAGAUGCAUUUGGAGCCCUUGGUUUCUGCUAUUGUUUAUUGAAAUUGGGAUUUCUAAGCAUUGGUGUUUGCGCAUUUACUGGUUGAUCCGCUGCAGAUACUGAUGGUUAGUGUUGCAGUUGCAUUGCGGGAGAUUGGUUACAAAGUUGUGGGUAGGGUGACAAACACUCUCAAAAAGGAGGGAAAAUCCUCCUGCAGAAGUCAUAAUCUCAAGUCUCAACUGGGAUAACUCACAACCCAAUUGUUGGCCCAUUCCUCACGGUUUACUCACUUGAAGAUGGUCCUGUGCAUGCUGUUUGGAGAAACAUUGGAGUUCCAGUCAAAAUCAUGGAAACUGGUGGGAAGUGGAGAUCAUUGUAGAUUGGCUGAAGUAUGAUUCUCAUAUAUGGGAACUUCCACACUUCAAUUAAUCACUAAACUGUUAGAAAUGCUAUGAUGGUAUACUCGUAAACUCUUUGGAAGCCAGUGGCAUUUUUCCUUGCCUCAUGCAGGAGCCUUUCAAGUGUGUACCUAUUAUUUGGACCAUCCAUGAUAGGGCAUUUGCUACUCGUUUGACACAAUACCAAAGCCUGCUGCCUGGUUUCUGCUAUUGUGUUUAUUGUUUUCUAUUAUUUGCAAAGACUUGUGUUGUGGCUCAAUGGAGGGCUAGCGUAUGGAGGUGCUGAAGAGAUCGGACCUUUUCGCAUUCAAUCUGAUGCCACUUGCAUAUUCUUCAAUUCCAAAGUAGUUUUCUUUAAACUAUUCGAUGCAUUUCUGAUUCCAUGUAUAUAUAUAACGUUCACAUUGAUGUUAACGUUCACUUUGGCAAAUUUAACGUUCUAUUCGAGACUAGUUCCUAAGGAUCACAUUGAUAUUCA